UACGGAGGGUGCGAGCGUUGUCCGGAUUUAUUGGGUUUAAAGGGUGCGUAGGUGGCUUUUUAAGUCAGUGGUGAAAUACAGCCGCUCAACGGUUGAGGUGCCAUUGAUACUGAAGAGCUUGAAACAAGUGGAGGCUGCCGGAAUGGAUGGUGUAGCGGUGAAAUGCAUAGAUAUCAUCCAGAACACCGAUUGCGAAGGCAGGUGGCUACGUUUUGAUUUGACACUGAGGAGCGAAAGCAUGGGUAGCGAACAGG
rnacentral:rRNA from 1 species